CACGGAACUACAUUGACUCCAAGGAAGAUAUUCUGGUCUAUGCUACAAAGUUGAUUAAAGCUGAAAUGCCUAUUUCUUUGAGAUUGAUGGGGUUGCGGAUGUCUCAGCUACAUGAUGAGAAGGACGAUCCAUCUACUUCAACA